rnacentral:rRNA from 1 species
UAUCGACGAGUUUGUCAUGGCUCAGGAUGAACGCUGGCGGCGUGCCUAAUACAUGCAAGUCGAACGAGGUGCUUGAGUAGCAAUACAAGAGUAUCCUAGUGGCGAACGGGUGAGUAACGCGUGGAUGACCUGCCCCAAAGUGUGGGAUAACAGUCCGAAAGGAUUGCUAAUACCUCAUGUGGUUAUCGGAUUUAGAAACUGAUAACUAAAGCAGCAAUGCGCUUUGGGAGGGAUCUGCGUCCCAUCAGCUAGUUGGCGAGGUAACGGCUCACCAAGGCGACGACGGGUAGGGGACCUGAGAGGGUGGCCCCCCACAAUGGAACUGAAACACGGUCCAUACACCUACGGGUGGCAGCAGUAGGGAAUAUUGCUCAAUGGGCGAAAGCCUGAAGCAGCAACGCCGCGUGUGCGAUGAAGGCCUUCGGGUCGUAAAGCACUUUUCAACGAGAUGAGAAAGGACAGUAUCGUAGGAAUAAGUCUCGGCUAACUACGUG